AGGAGAGGCAGAAGCCUCAAGCUGUGCCCAUCUGGGCAGAGGGAUCCUCCUCACAUCGUCACUGGGCAUGAGCACCUGGUGAUGGAGAAGCAAACCUAAAGUUGGCCUGAACAGAAGCACAGGAGCAAUGCUGCUUGUCAACUGCAAGAGCCAGCCUGGGUGAGCUGCAGAAGCUGGAGUGUCUGCACCCAAGACCUGCUGAAGAGGGCCACCUGGCACCAAGGAGGAAUGUCGAAUGAGAAAUGUCUGCCCAAAGACUGGAAACUUUCUGCAACUUCAAUAUGUAUUUCAAAUAUUCUUCAGCUGAGAGACGAUGGAUGCCAAUCAACAAAUGGUGCUGUUGUUGAUUUCCUGGACCUCGGCCUGACUGGAUUGCCCAGGAUGUGCACAUCUGAUGUCAGCUACCUUGAAGAGAAAAGGCUCAUGUGCAUUCGGGGUAUGGCCAGGUAACAAGCGCAGGGACGGGGCAGAUGUCCUCCCCAGUGCUGCCACUGGACUGCUGCAAAUGCAUGAAUACACAGGAAGAUUUCCUAGGGAGCUGCACCUGGACACCAAUCUAAGAAACUGUAUAAAUAGGCAUGAGCAAUGCCUGCCAAGUGUGGACCUCCACCAGAAGAACUCCUGAUGAACUCCUCAGAAGAACAUCCCUGGGCCAUGCAUGCUUCCUUUUUUUCCCUCUCUCCCUCUGCUUUGUUCAACUUUAUCAUUUAAUAAAUAGUUUUGUGGU